rnacentral:rRNA from 1 species
UACAGAGGAGCCAAGCGUUGUCCGGAUUGACUGGGCGUAAAGCGCACGCAGGCGGAUGCGCGCGUGGGGUGUGAAAUCUGGCCGCUUAACGGCCAGGCGCCAUCCCAUACGGCGCGUCUGGAGUGAUGCAGAGGUCGAUGGAAUUGCCGGUGUAGUGGUGGAAAUGCGUAGAGAUCGGCGAGGAACACCCAGGGGGAAACCAGUCGACUGGGCUCGUACUGACGCUGAGUCGGCGAAGCGU